UACGGAGGGUGCGAGCGUUGUCCGGAAUCACUGGGCGUAAAGGGCGCGUAGGCGGCGCGGAUAGUCGGCGGUGAAAGCCCGGAGCUCAACUCCGGGUCGGCCGUCGAUACUUCCGGGCUUGAGCACUGUAGAGGCAGAUGGAAUUCCGGGUGUAGCGGUGGAAUGCGUAGAGAUCCGGAAGAACACCGGUGGCGAAGGCGGUCUGCUGGGCAGUUGCUGACGCUGAUGCGCGACAGCGGUGGGGAGCAAACGAGGAUUAGA
rnacentral:rRNA from 1 species